AGAAUCAACGCUGGCGGCGUGCCUAACACAUGCAAGUCGAACGAGAAAGUGGAGCAAUCCAUGAGUAAAGUGGCGCACGGGUGAGUAACACGUGACUAACCUACCUUUUAGUGGGGGAUAACCUAGGGAAACCUGGGCUAAUACCGCAUAAUACCUACGGGUCAAAGCAGCAAUGCGCUGGAAGAGGGGGUCGCGGUCGAUUAGUUAGUUGGCAGGGUAAUGGCCUACCAAGACUGUGAUCGAUAUCCGGCCUGAGAGGGCGCACGGACACACUGGAACUGAAACACGGUCCAGACUCCUACGGGAGGCAGCAGUGGGGAAUUUUGCGCAAUGGGGGAAACCCUGACGCAGCAACGCCGCGUGGAGGAUGAAGUCCCUUGGGACGUAAACUCCUUUCGAUCGGGACGAUAAUGACGGUACCGGAAGAAGAAGCCCGGCUAACUCGUGCCAGCAGCCGC
rnacentral:rRNA from 1 species